GACGAACGCUGGCGGUGUGCUUCACACAUGCAAGUCGAACGAGGUAGCAAUACCUAGUGGCGGACGGGUGAGUAACGCGUGGGAAUCUGCCUUUAGAUGGGGGAUAACGAGCCGAAAGGUUCGCUAAUACCGCAUAUGCCGUAAGGUGAAAGGAGUAAUCCGUCUAGAGAUGAGCCCGCGUCCGAUUAGCUAGUUGGUAGGGUAAAGGCCUACCAAGGCGACGAUCGGUAGCUGGUCUGAGAGGAUGAUCAGCCACAAUGGGACUGAGACACGGCCCAUACUCCUACGGGAGGCAGCAGUGGGGAAUUUUACGCAAUGGGGGAAACCCUGACGUAGCGACACCGCGCGAGCGAAGAAGCCCCUUGGGGUGUAAAGCUCUGUCGGCUGGAACGAAAAAAAUGACGGUACCAGCAAAGGAAGCAUCGGCUAACUACGUGCCAGCAGCCGCAGUAA
rnacentral:rRNA from 1 species